UUGAACGCUGGCGGCAGGCCUAACCCAUGCAAGUCGCACGGUAACAGGAAGCAGCUUGCUGCUUCGCUGACGAGUGGCGGACGGGUGAGUAAUGUCUGGGAAACUGCCUGAUGGAGGGGGAUAACUACUGGAAACGGUAGCUAAUACCGCAUAACGUCGCAAGACCAAAGAGGGGGACCUUAGGGCCUCUUGCCAUCGGAUGUGCCCAGAUGGGAUUAGCUAGUAGGUGGGGUAACGGCUCACCUAGGCGACGAUCCCUAGCUGGUCUGAGAGGAUGACCAGCCACACUGGAACUGAGACACGGUCCAGACUCCUACGGGAGGCAGCAGUGGGGAAUAUUGCACAAUGGGCGCAAGCCUGAUGCAGCCAUGCCGCGUGUAUGAAGAAGGCCUUCGGGUUGUAAAGUACUUUCAGCGGGGAGGAAGGGAGUAAAGUUAAUACCUUUGCUCAUUGACGUUACCCGCAGAAGAAGCGCCGGCUAACUCCGUG
rnacentral:rRNA from 1 species